ensembl:lncRNA
AUGGGCAGCAGAUUACAGGUAGACAGUUCUAAGGUGCAACUGCUAUUUCAUCAGUUAUGCACAAGGAAAUCUAAGGGACCUGAUGGGAUCUCCGCCCAGCUUUUGAAAACCUGUGCUGCAGAACUUAAUCCAGUGUGGUGUACACUCUUUCAGCGUUCAUUGGACUCACAUACAGUUCCUGCAAUCUGGAAAAAAGCUGUGAUCAUUCCUAUUCCGAAAAAACCACACCCGUCCGAGAAUAAUGAUUUUAGACCUGUAGCAUUGACAUCAAUAAUAAUGAAAUGUUUUGAGAAGUACAUUGUGUCAAUAUUGAAAAGUGAAGUAAUAUCUAAACUAGAUCCGUGGCAGUUUGCAUACAGACAGGGCAGGAGUACGGAUGAUGCAGUAGGAAGUAUUACCCAUCUAGUAUCUAAACAUCUGGACCACCCAAAGGCAUACGCACGCCUACUUUUUAUUGAUUUUAGUUCAGCUUUUUAUACUUUGCAACCCUAUUUAUUAUUGGAGAAAUUAAAAGAGAUGGAUGUAAAUCCUUUUAUUAUUAAAUGGUAUUUUUCUUUUCUAACGAAUAGAACACAACAGGUUAAGGUUAACAAGAAGAUUUCCAACCCUCAGGAUAUUAGUACAGGAGCCCCGCAAGGGUGUGUCAGCUCCCCAGUUCUCUUCACACUGUACACAAACAGUUGUGUGAGGAAUAAUAGUAAUAACUAUAUUGUGAAAUUUAGUGAUGAUACUGCGAUUCUGAGCUUAUUAUAUAAAGAUCAAGACAUUUCGUCUUACUGCUCUGAGAUUAAUCAGUUCAUAGAGUGGUGUGAUGCCAAUCACCUGAUUGUAAAUGUGAAGAAAACUGAAGAGAUGAUAUUUGAUCCAAAGUCAAUCGGAAACCAUAGCCCUAUAUAUAUUCAUGAUGUUCCUGUCACACAAGUGUCCUCCUAUAAAUAUCUUGGUGUUUACAAUGAUUGUUCUCUAACAUGGCAGGUUCAUAUAGAUACUUUGUGCACUCGGCUACAACAAAGAAUGUAUUUUUUGAGAAGGCUCAGAUUUUACGGUGUCAGUAGUAAGAUUAUGAUGAUGUUUUACCAGGCUGUAUUGGAGAAUGUGAUCAGAUACGGAAUACAUCUUUGGUAUGGUAAUUUAUCAGUACAUCUGAAAUCUAAGCUUGGACAUCUUAUUAAAACGGCCAUGAAGAUCAUGGGCAGAACACAACCUUUUUAUCUCCAGACCCUAUAUGAAAGAUCUAUACUGAGGGAGGCAAAUAAGAUUCUGGAUGAUACAACACAUACCCUGUAUUCUGAGUUUGAAUUGUUGCCAUCGGGGAGAAGAUUACGAAUGCCUAGCUGUAGAUUAAACCAUUUCAAGAAGUCAUUCAUUCCUUCAGCUGUUAAGUUAUUAAAUAAUAUCAAGUAG